UACCUGCAGCUCAAGUGGUGGCCGCUAUUAUUGGGCCUAAAACGUCCGUAGCCGGCUUAUUAAAUGCCUGGGUAAAUCGUGUAGCUCAACUAUACGAAUUCCGGGUAGACUGGUAAGCUCGAGACCGGGAGAAGUUAGAGGUACUCCUGGGGUAGAGGUGAAAUUCUGUAAUCCUAGGGGGACCACCAGUGGCGAAGGCGUCUGACUAGAACGGGUCUGACGGUGAGGGACGAAGCCCUGGGGCGCAAACCGGGAUUAGAUACCCGGGUAGUCCAGGGUGUAAACGCUGCUUGCUUGAUGUUGGUUGGGCUCCGAGCCCAAUCAGUGUCGGAGAGAAGUUGUUAAGCAAGCUGCCUGGGAAGUACGGUCGCAAGACUGAAACUUAAAGGAAUUGGCGGGGAGCACAGCAACGGGUGGAGCGUGCGGUUU
rnacentral:rRNA from 1 species